rnacentral:rRNA from 1 species
AUGGAGUCAAGCUUAGCUAUGGCGACGACGCCGCCGCCCCACCGGCCGCCGCUUGUGCUCUUAUCCCUGCUGCUGCUCCUCCUCCAUCCCUUCUUCUCCGCCGCAGCGCCGUCUAUCACCACCAAAGCCGUGCCGCGGCUGCCCGGUUUCAGCGGACCCCUGCCCUUCUCCCUCGAAACAGGGUACGUGGGGCUGGACGACGGCGCCCAACUCUUCUACUACUUCAUCCAGUCGGAGAACGACCCGGAGGAGGACCCCGUCCUUCUCUGGCUCACGGGCGGGCCCGGUUGCUCCGCCCUCUCAGGCCUCGCCUACGAGAUCGGCCCUUUCAACUUUGACUUCCAUGGCUACAUGGGAGGCCUGCCUACUCUGCUCUACCAGCCAUCGUCUUGGGCAAAGGUUAGCAACAUCAUCUUCGUGGAUUCUCCGGUAGGAACAGGCUUCUCAUAUGCGACCGGAGACAAGAGAACCAUACAAAGUGACACAAUUGUUGUUCAGCAGCUGCACAUUUUCCUUGAAACGUGGUUUGAUGAACAUCCGCAGUUCUUGCCAAAUCCACUCUAUAUUUCAGGUGAUUCAUAUAGCGGCUUAAUCAUACCUUCUCUUGCUAUGAAAAUUGCUAAAGGGAUAGAACUCGGCAAUGAGCGACUCAUUAAUCUCAAGGGUGUCAUUGCUGGCAAUCCAUUAACCGAUAACACGACGACCUUCAACGCUCGAGUUCCAUUUCUUCAUGGGAUGGGAAUUAUACCAGAUGAACUCUACGAGGCUGCUCGUGAAAGCUGCGGGGGGGAAUACCGUUGGGCAUCGAACGCCCACUGUGCCGAUUCCCUCCAAGCCAUCCAAGAGUGCAUGAGGGGUUUAAACACUGUACACGUCUUGGAGCCAGCGUGUGAAGAAUAUCCAAGCCUCACCAUUCACAAGCAGCAGCCGUUGCAAGACCAUGGGAGGAAAAUGCUAACAGAGUCCGCAUUUUCGUCCGUGUGCAGGAAUGCCACAUACUUCCUAUCCGAGUUAUGGACAAAUGACGAAGCUGUAAGGGAGAGUCUGGGUAUUCACAAGGGAACAGUUCCAUCAUGGCUACGAUGUGAUGUCAAUCUACCUUACACACAUGAAAUCACCAGCGCGGUAGAUGAUCAUGCAGCCCUGAUUACUAGAGGAUACCGGGCUAUGAUAUAUAGUGGAGACCAUGACCCUAAAGUAUCUUAUGUUGACACCCAAGCAUGGAUCAGACGACUUAAGCUGCCCAUCACAGAUCCUUGGCGACCAUGGCAUGUGGACGACCAAAUCGUGGGAUACACAAGAACUUUCUCUAACAAUCUGACAUACGCAACUGUAAAGGGUGCCGGACACACAGCCCCAGAGUACAUGCCAAGGGAGUGUCUUGCUAUGAUCGAUAGAUGGCUUUCCGGUGAGCCUCUCUGA